CUACGGGACGCAGCAGUGGGGAAUAUUGCACAGUGGAGGAAACUCUGAUGCAGCAACGCCGCGUGGAGGAUGACACUUUUCGGAGCGUAAACUCCUUUUAUAUAGGAAGAAGAUGACGGUACUAUAUGAAUAAGCGCCGGCUAACUCCGUGCCAGCAGCCGCGGUAAUAAGGAGGGCGCAAGCGUUACUCGGAAUCACUGGGCGUAAAGAGCGUGUAGGCGGAUUAAAAAGUCAGAAGUGAAAUCCUAUAGCUUAACUAUAGAACUGCUUCUGAAACUCUUAAUCUAGAAUAUGGGAGAGGUAGAUGGAAUUUCUGGUGUAGGGGUAAAAUCCGUAGAGAUCAGAAGGAAUACCGAUUGCGAAGGCGAUCUACUAGAACAUUAUUGACGCUGAGACGCGAAAGCGUGGGGAGCAAACAGGAUUAGAUACCCUAGUAGUC
rnacentral:rRNA from 1 species